rnacentral:rRNA from 1 species
GCUUGCUCUCCGAGGUUAGUGGCGAACGGGUGCGUAACACGUGAGAAACGUACCCACCGGUGGGGGAUAGCCGGCCCAACGGCCGGGUAAUACCGCAUGCGACGCCUUUCGGGCAUCCGGAGGGCGGGAAAGCAGCAAUGCGCCGGUGGAGCGUCUCGCGGCCUAUCAGCUUGUUGGUGAGGUAACGGCUUACCAAGGCUACGACGGGUAGCUGGUCUGAGAGGAUGAUCAGCCACAUUGGGACUGAGACACGGCCCAGACUCCUACGGGAGGCAGCAGUGGGGAAUAUUGCGCAAUGGCCGAAAGGCUGACGCAGCGACGCCGCGUGCGGGAUGAAGGCCUUCGGGUCGUAAACCGCUGUCAGGAGGGACGAAACUCUGACGGUACCUCCAGAGGAAGCACCGGCUAACUCCGUGCCAGCAGCCGCGGUAAUACGGAGGGUGCGAGCGUUGUCCGGAAUCACUGGGCGUAAAGGGCGCGUAGGCGGCGCAGUAAGUAGGGGGUGAAAUCUCACGGCUCAACCGUGAAACGGCCUCCUAAACUGCU